UUAAUAUGGCAGAUAA
rnacentral:tRNA from 2 species